GGAAGCGGUGCCAAAGUUCUCUGAGUAUCUCAAACCGCUGCUUGAGGGGCGGGAAAUGACCGACAGGCAGCAUAAGCAUCAGAGCAUACAGCUGAGGCAUGAGAUCAUUCGUCACCUCGACACGAAUAACUUAAUAACAUCAGGAUCUGUUGGAAAGUUGCGUUGGCAAUAUAAUGCAUUGGGUGCUGCAUUAGCUGAAGCAUUUCCAUACAUGGUUUGGGAGAAUGCUGCUCCAGGCACAAAGACAUACAAAAAGAGCAAAGAUAUCUGGUCUGUCUUCAUGCACAGACUGACAACUGCUCGGAAACAGAGGCGCUACAGAAAGAGUCGUUCAGUAAUAGUAACUGAUAAACAGCCAGAAGUACAGCCGAGUACCCUUACUGUUUCAGAAGCAAGUGCAAUGCUAA